rnacentral:rRNA from 1 species
UACGUAGGGGGCAAGCGUUGUCCGGAUUUAUUGGGCGUAAAGAGCGUGUAGGCGGCUUUACAGGUCCGUUGUGAAAACUCGAGGCUCAACCUCGAGACGCCGGUGGAAACCGUAAAGCUAGAGUCCGGAAGAGGCGAGUGGAAUUCCCGGUGUAGCGGUGAAAUGCGCAGAUAUCGGGAGGAACACCAAUUGCGAAGGCAGCUCGCUGGGACGUCACUGACGCUGAGACGCGAAAGCGUGGGGAGCAAACAGG